rnacentral:rRNA from 1 species
GAUGAACGCUGGCGGCGUGCCUAAUACAUGCAAGUCGAGCGAACGGACGAGAAGCUUGCUUUUCUGAUGUUAGCGGCGGACGGGUGAGUAACACGUGGAUAACCUACCUAUAAGACUGGGAUAACUUCGGGAAACCGGAGCUAAUACCGGAUAAUAUUUUGAACCGCAUGGUUCAAAAGUGAAAGACGGUCUUGCUGUCACUUAUAGAUGGAUCCGCGCUGCAUUAGCUAGUUGAUAAGGUAACGGCUUACCAAGGCAACGAUGCAUAGCCGACCUGAGAGGGUGAUCGGCCACACUGGAACUGAGACACGGUCCAGACUCCUACGGGAGGCAGCAGUAGGGAAUCUUCCGCAAUGGGCGAAAGCCUGACGGAGCAACGCCGCGUGAGUGAUGAAGGUCUUCGGAUCGUAAAACUCUGUUAUUAGGGAAGAACAUAUGUGUAAGUAACUGUGCACAUCUUGACGGUACCUAAUCAGAAAGCCACGGCUAACUACGUG